CAACCUCAACUCAUAUGGGACUACCCCCUGAAUUUAAGCAUAUUAAUUAGGGGAGGAAAAGAAACUAACAAGGAUUUUCUUAGUAGCGGCGAGCGAAAAGAAAUCAGUUCAGCACUAAGUCACUUUGUCUAUAUGGCAAAUGUGAGAUGCAGUGUAAGGAACAUCAAUAUUCUAGUAUGAGAAAUUAACGAUUUAAGUCCUUCUUAAAUGAGGCCAUUUACCCAUAGAGGGUGCCAGGCCCGUAUAACGUUAAUGAUUACUAGAUGAUGUUUCCAAAGAGUCGUGUUGCUUGAUAGUGCAGCACUAAGUGGGUGGUAAACUCCAUCUAAAACUAAAUAUAACCAUGAGACCGAUAGUAAACAAGUACCGUGAGGGAAAGUUGAAAAGAACUCUGAAUAGAGAGUUAAAUAGUACGUGAAACUGCUUAGAGGUUAAGCCCGAUGA
rnacentral:ncRNA from 1 species